GUUUUUUUGAAAAAAGAAAACAAGUGCUCACUUUGCAGAGAAGAUUAGCAUGGCUCUGUGUAAGGAUGACAUGUACACUGGUGAAGCAUUCUAUAUUAAA
ensembl:snRNA U6 U6 spliceosomal RNA